rnacentral:rRNA from 1 species
UACGUAGGGGGCAAGCGUUAUCCGGAUUUACUGGGUGUAAAGGGGGCGCAGACGGCGAUGCAAGCCAGGAGUGAAAGCCCGGGGCCCAACCCCGGGACUGCUCUUGGAACUGCGUGGCUGGAGUGCCGGAGGGGCAGGCGGAAUUCCUGGUGUAGCGGUGAAAUGCGUAGAUAUCAGGAGGAACACCGGUGGCGAAGGCGGCCUGCUGGACUGCAACUGACGUUGAGGCCCGAAAGCGUGGGGAGCAAACAGG